rnacentral:rRNA from 1 species
AGACGUAGGGCGCGAGCGUUGUCCGGAUUUAUUGGGCGUAAAGAGCUCGUAGGCGGCUUGUCGCGUCGACCGUGAAAACCUGUGGCUUAACCAUAGGCUUGCGGUCGAUACGGGCAGGCUAGAGUGCGGCAGGGGAGACUGGAAUUCCUGGUGUAGCGGUGAAAUGCGCAGAUAUCAGGAGGAACACCGGUGGCGAAGGCGGGUCUCUGGGCCGCUACUGACGCUGAGGAGCGAAAGCGUGGGGAGCGAACAGGAUUAGAUACCCUGGUAGUCCACGCUGUAAACGUUGGGCGCUAGGUGCGGGGAGCCUCUCCGGUUCUCCGUGCCGUAGCUAACGCAUUAAGCGCCCCGCCUGGGGAGUACGGUCGCAAGGCUAAA